rnacentral:antisense_RNA from 1 species
CUCAAUGGCGGUUCAGGCAGGGGCGGAGAAAUCCGCGCCGGGUGGUCACAUGCCGGUACUGCAAACCCUGUCUGAAUCGCCACCAGG